UACGUAGGCCCCGAGCAUUAUCCGGAAUUAUUGGGCGUAAAGAGCUUGUAGGCGGUUUGUCGCGUCUGCUGUGAAAAUCCGGGGCUCAACCCCGGACUUGCAGUGGGUACGGGCAGACUAGAGUGUGGUAGGGGAGACUGGAAUUCCUGGUGUAGCGGUGAAAUGCGCAGAUAUCAGGAGGAACACCGAAGGCGAAGGCAGGUCUCUGGGCCACUACUGACGCUGAGAAGCGAAAGCAUGGGGAGCGAACAGG
rnacentral:rRNA from 1 species